rnacentral:rRNA from 1 species
ACGCUUGCUGCAUGCUUUAUACAUGCAAGUCGAACGAAGGCCCUAGCUUGCUAGGUGUCCUUAGUGGCGCACGGGUGAGUAACACGUGGGAACAUACCCUAUAGUACGGAAUAACUGCGGGAAACUGUAGCUAAUACCGUAUACUCCAGUAAUGGGAAAGAUUUAUCGCUAUAGGAUUGGCCCGCGCAAGAUUAGCUUGUUGGUGAGGUAAAAGCUCACCAAGGCUUCGAUCUUUAGCUGGUUUGAGAGGAUGAUCAGCCACACUGGGACUGAGACACGGCCCAGACUCCUACGGGAGGCAGCAGUAGGGAAUAUUGGACAAUGGGGGCAACCCUGAUCCAGCAAUGCAGCGUGAGUGACGAAGGCCUUAGGGUUGUAAAACUCUUUCAUCGGUGAGGAUAAUGACAGUAGCCGAAGAAGAAGGACCGGCUAAUUCCGUGCCAGCAGCCGCGGUAAUACGGAAGGUCCUAGCGUUGUUCGGAAUUACUGGGCGUAAAGCGCAUGUAGGCGGAACAGAAAGUUAGAAGUGAAAUCCCUGGGCUCAACCUAGGAAUUGCUUUUAAAACUUCUGUUCUGGAAUUCAGGAGAGGAAAAUGGAAUUUCCAGUGUAGAGGUGAAAUUCGUAGAUAUUGGAAGGAACACCAGUGGCGAAGGCGAUUUUCUGGACUGAUAUUGACGCUGAGAUGCGAAGGCAUGGGUAGCAAACGGGAUUAGAUACCCCGGUAGUCCAUGCAGUAAACGAUGGGUGCUAGUCGUCGGACUUUUGUUCGGUGUCGUAGCUAACGCGUUAAGCACCCCGCCUGGGGAGUACG